CAGGUGUAUAUAAUCAUGUAUCUCCCGCGUGCGCUCCAGGAAAUACAGGUUCAUGAACUUCAAGCGCUCCCAGUAAUUGAGGUGUUUUAUCUCCGUUAUGCGAGUUGUGAAGGUUCUCUGUACAUUUUCUAGAUCAGCAAUUUCACCUGCCUUGAAAGGUGCUGUUAGUGUGCAGCAAUAUUCCAGGCUAGAUAGAACAAGUGACCUGAAGAGUGUCAUCAUGGGCUUGGCAUCCCUUGUUUUGAAGGUUCUCAUUAUCCAUCCUGUCAUUUUUCUAGCAGCUGCGAUUGAUACAAUGUUAUGGUCCUUGAAGGUGAGAUCCUCCAACAUGAUGACUCCCAGGUCUUUGACUUUGGUUUUUCACACUAUUUUGUGGACAGAAUUUGUUUUGUACUCUGAUGAAGUUUUAAUUUCCUCAUGUUUACCAUAUCGGAGUAAUUGAAAUUUCUCAUCAUUGAACUUCAUAUUGUCUUCUGCAGCCCAUUGAAAGAUUUGGUUGAUGUCCGCCUGGAGCCUUGCAGUGUCUACAAUGGAAGACACUGUCAUGCAGAUUCGGGUGUCAUCUGCAAAGGAAGACACGGUGCUGUGACUGAUAUCCUUGUCUAUGUCGGAUAUGAGGAUGAGAAACAAGAUAGGAGUAACAUCACUCCAGACCCACUGUUCACCACUGUGAACAGGCAACAUCACUCCAGACCCACUGUUCACCACUGAGAACAGGUAACAACACUCCAGACCCACUGUUCACCACUGAAGAAAUUGAAAUAUCACUCACAGCUCAUUAAAGAUGGGAGCAUUACAUCCAGUACCCAUUGAUUACCAAACACAAGCAACUUGCUGCCUGGUCCCACUGCUGGGCCACUGACCAGAGGCAACAUCUUGGCCAGUCCCACUGCUGGACCACUGAGUACAGGCAACUUCUUGGCCAGUCCCACUGCUGGAAUCACUGACCACAGGCAACAUCUUGGCCAGUCCCACUGCUGGACCACUGACCACAGGCAACAUCUUGGCCAGUCCCACUGCUGGACCACUGACCACAUCGCACUCAGUUCCACCGACAGCAAAGUUUCACUCACGGACCAUUGA